UACGGAGGGGGCUAGCGUUGUUCGGAAUUACUGGGCGUAAAGCGCACGUAGGCGGCUUUUUAAGUCAGGGGUGAAAUCCUGGAGCUCAACUCCAGAACUGCCUUUGAUACUGAGAAGCUUGAGUCCGGGAGAGGUGAGUGGAACUGCGAGUGUAGAGGUGAAAUUCGUAGAUAUUCGCAAGAUCACCAGUGGCGAAGGCGGCUCACUGGCCCGGUACUGACGCUGAGGUGCGAAAGCGUGGGGAGCAAACAGG
rnacentral:rRNA from 1 species